rnacentral:lncRNA from 1 species
CUCCCCCUCCCUGGGCCCCUCGGGCGCAUGUUCCCAUCAUCUCCGUGUGGCGGGGAGCUCAGCUUCGCAGGGUCCUACCAGGUGCCCAGAGCCCCUGACCGACCAGCCCGGACCCGCGGGAAGGGUCCCCCCGGGGCAGUGCCAAGAGCGCCCACCAGGGGGCAGGGGCGGGCCGGGAACGGGCGGGCGGCGGCUCCUCCGGGCUCCUGCCGAACGGACCGCGCUGGGGGCUGGGACUGACGGUCAGGUCCGCGUCGUCCUGAGCUGGGCCAGGCCGGGUGCCAGGACCCUUGUCGGCGCAUCCGCCCUCACAUAUUGCCCCCUGGGGAAGGUCCUAGGACUGCUUCUCUCAGACGGGAAACUGAGGCACAGAGUCUCGCAGCUGGUGGAGCUGGGGUUCAAGUCCAGGCAGAGCCUUUGGGCUUAUGAGGGAGACUACCCCACAGACGGCGGGCAGCUCCCCAAGGCCCCAGGAGGAGGAGCUGUGCCCAGAGCAGAGAGAAAGAACUGCUGCGCAAAGGCCCUGAGGUGGGGACCAGGCUGAGUCCGGCCGGCCUUCUCAUCCAAACAUCCAGGGGAUGCCACCGCGGCAGAAAAAUGAUGCUGUUCCAUUAACAUCUGACACGGAUUUGCAGGCCCCAAACAGACGGGCGCGCGUGUAAACACCGGCCUGGCUGGGCCCCCGCCCGCCCGGCUCAAAGCGGGAUCCUGGUAAUUAAUUGUCCGCCCGCUGGCCCCCCGCCCCGCCACCCCGGCCAGUGUGGUUUUGAGAUUGCAGCCCUUCAGGCCCCCCGCAAACUGCAUUUCCCAAACAACGGAUGUGCCCUAGCUGCCGGAAGGAGCAGAGGGAAGCGCCCGGCUAGCGGGCGGGGCCCAGCUCCCCCCAGGAGCCCGGGGGGUCAGGUGCCGAGAGGGCGCAGCCCCGGGCCCAGGGGCCUCCAGCCCACUGAGCGCCUGGCACGGCCAGCCGCGGUUUCUCAUUCCACUCGUUUCGGCUGACUUUGUGAGGGUGUAAGCCACCUCGACAUUGUUACAACAUGUGUCUUUUUACCUUGAAGAGAGAGGAUGCUAGAAUGCUAUUCUAGAACAUUCAGCAUCAGUGACACCUCGCGCACGUGCGCAUGUGUGUGUGUGUUUGCACCACCAAUACCUUCUCUGCUUGUCAAAGGGAAGCUUAAAUAAACGGCAACAAUUCUCCCCCGUGUGUAGACUA